AGUGUUCUGUCAUUGCAAAAGAAUAGAACUGAGUCAGGAGGGGUGAAUUUAUUUCAUGCUUCACAAAUGUAUGUGGGGGAGUGGGAAGGAGAAAAUGCUGAAAAUAAAAUCAAGCAGGUCAGUGCCCAAACAGCUCAUUCUGAUUGUCUUUAUAUAACACAUGUUACAGACAGUGUAGUUGCCCUCUGGAUUUCCAAAGGGAAUAUUCAAUGCAGAGUAGCUGAAAUGGAAACUAAAUAUGACUGGAGGCUGUAGUUUUGCAGCAGUAUCACUGCAGGUAAUUUUUCUGGCUGUAAAUCAAGUGAUCAUUAAAGCUGAAUGCUGAGAAGCAGAAGUUUGGGAGUGAUUUGGCUUGUCAUUAUCAAAAUCUGGUCUUAAUGAGGAUCUUGUUAGCUACUUCUACACCUGCUUUUCCCCGUGCAGAGACCUCCAUGAUGCACCAAAACCAGGGGACCAAGUGGAGAGCAGGAGGAAAUGAGAGGUUUAAAGCAUCAACUCUGUUAGGAGUGCACGUGUGGGAGAGGCUGCUGGACACAGAGCCUGAAGUGCCUGCACUCCACCUGUGCCCUUCCUGCCCAUGGCACCACGGGCUGCACUUGUGGGGCUGCUGGAGGAGCUCUGUGGGUCUGCAGGGUGGGAAGGCUGCCUUGAUGGACAGGACUGAAGCACAUUGUGCUGCUGCUACUGUGCAGAAAAGCUGAAUCACUCAGCACCCUGCUGCUCUGCGAGGCUACUCACAGAAGAAAAAAUAAAUUCCUUUCACCAAUCGUGGCAAGGGACUUUGUCUGGAUAAUAUCCAUUCUGGAUUGCAGGAAGUAAACUUCCAGCUCUUCCUCUCUGGAGAGGACACCAUGCCUGAAGUGAUUGUGAAGAACACCUCAAACAAAUAAAAAACCAAGGUAAUCUGUCUUCAUCAGAUCCUGUCCAGAAUGCAUUGACUCCUAAAUCCAGUCGAAAUACAUCUGUGGGAGGAAAAUAAAAGAAAGAGGAUGAGCAGAGAAAUACCUGUCCUUUAAAAAUCAGCUUUAAGCUGAAAGACUGCACAACUACCUGAUUAUGG